UUAUACAACUUUCAACAACGGAUCUCUUGGCUCUCGCAUCGAUGAAGAACGCAGCGAAAUGCGAUAAGUAAUGUGAAUUGCAGAAUUCAGUGAAUCAUCGAAUCUUUGAACGCACCUUGCGCUCCUUGGUACUCCGAGGAGCAUGCCUGUU
rnacentral:rRNA from 1 species